rnacentral:lncRNA from 1 species
AUGCUGUGGAUAAAUAGAGCUUCCCUUAAAAAUUCUUUUUUCAGUCAAAAAUCUAAAAUGCAUUUUCUCAAAACUUUUUUAUUUCUUGUAUUAUUUUUAUACCUAGGUGGGAUUUUUCUUGCCUUUGGAAAAAAUAAAUCUCUUACCAGAGAUAUGAAAAAUUCAGCUGAAUUUAUUUAUGGCCCUGGUAAAGGUCUUUUCAUGCUCUACAAUGACAAUAUUUUUACAAAACCUACAGCUUUACCUUUCAUAAAGCACCGGCAAGAGGAAAGAAAUGACAGUAAGACUGAAUUAUGA